UCUCCGUAGGUGAACCUGCGGAGGGAUCAUUACCGAGUGAGGGCCUCCGGGUCCGACCUCCAACCCCUUUGUUGUACCGACCCUGUUGCCUCGGGGGCGACCCGGCCCUCCUGGGCGUCGGGGCCCCCGGUGGUCCAUCUCAACCCUGCAUCUGUGCGUCUGAGUAAAUAUUUGAAUCAAUCAAAACUUUCAACAACGGAUCUCUUGGCUCUCGCAUCGAUGAAGAACGCAGC
rnacentral:misc_RNA from 1 species